GGGGGUUUAGCUCAGCUGGGAGAGCGCCUGCUUUGCAAGCAGGAGGUCAACGGUUCGAUCCCGUUAAUCUCCACCA
rnacentral:tRNA from 2 species